rnacentral:misc_RNA from 1 species
AAGUCGUAACAAGGUCUCCGUUGGUGAACCAGCGGAGGGAUCAUUACCGAGUCACGCACUCAAAUAACCCUUCUGUGGACCUAAAUUAAAACCGUUGCCUCGGCGGGCGGUCCCCUGUCAAAACCCACGUGGUGUGGGCAGGGGACCAGACAGUCCGGCACGCUUGAGGCGUCCGGCGCCAGCCGCUGGCCCUAAACAAUUAAACUCUAGUAACCUUACCUUCUGAGUUUUAAUGCAAAAAAAUAAGUCAAAACUUUCAACAACGGAUCUCUUGGCUCUG